UACAGAGGGGGCAAGCGUUGUUCGGAAUUACUGGGCGUAAAGGGCGCGUAGGCGGCCUUCUAAGUCGAACGUGAAAUCCCCGGGCUCAACCCGGGAACUGCGUCCGAUACUGGAAGGCUUGAAUCCGGGAGAGGGAUGCGGAAUUCCAGGUGUAGCGGUGAAAUGCGUAGAUAUCUAGAGGAACACCGGUGGCGAAGGCGGCAUCCUGGACCGGCAUUGACGCUGAGGCGCGAAAGCCAGGGGAGCAAACGGG
rnacentral:rRNA from 1 species